rnacentral:rRNA from 1 species
UACGAGGGGGGCAAGCGUUGUUCGGAAUUAUUGGGCGUAAAGGGCGCGUAGGCGGUGCGGUAAGUCACCUGUGAAAACUCUGGGCUCAACUCAGAGCCUGCAGGCGAAACUGCCGUGCUUGAGUGUGGGAGAGGUGCGUGGAAUUCCCGGUGUAGCGGUGAAAUGCGCAGAUAUCAGGAGGAACACCGGUGGCGAAGGCGGGUCUCUGGGCCGUAACUGACGCUGAGGAGCGAAAGCAUGGGGAGCGAACAGG